rnacentral:rRNA from 1 species
GACGAACGCUGGCGGCGUGCUUAACACAUGCAAGUCGAACGGAAAGGCCCUGCUUUUGUGGGGUGCUCGAGUGGCGAACGGGUGAGUAACACGUGAGUAACCUGCCCUUGACUUUGGGAUAACUUCAGGAAACUGGGGCUAAUACCGGAUAGGAGCUCCUGCUGCAUGGUGGGGGUUGGUAAGUUUCGGCGGUUGGGGAUGGACUCGCGGCUUAUCAGCUUGUUGGUGGGGUAGUGGCGUACCAAGGCUUUGACGGGUAGCCGGCCUGAGAGGGUGACCGGCCACAUUGGGACUGCGAUACGGACCAGACGCCUACGGGCGGCAGCAGGGGGGAAUAUUGCACAAUGGGCGGAAGCCUGAUGCAGCAACGCCGCGUGCGGGAUAACGGCCUUCGGGUUGUAAACCGAUUUCGCCUGUGACGAAGCGUGAGUGACGGUAAUGGGUAAAGAAGCACCGGCUAACUACGUG